rnacentral:rRNA from 1 species
GGAGUCGUACCGGUAGCCGUAGAUCUUAACCUUGUACCCGUAGAGUUUGAUCUUGGUCUCGGAAAGUUUUAACGGGGACGGCUGAAUAUUGUCUGGGAAACUGCCUGAUGGAGGGGGAUAACUACUGGAAACGGUAGCUAAUACCGCAUAAUGUCGCAAGACCAAAGAGGGGGACCUUCGGGCCUCUUGCCAUCAGAUGUGCCCAGAUGGGAUUAGCUAGUAGGUGGGGUAACGGCUCACCUAGGCGACGAUCCCUAGCUGGUCUGAGAGGAUGACCAGCCACACUGGAACUGAGACACGGUCCAGACUCCUACGGGAGGCAGCAGUGGGGAAUAUUGCACAAUGGGCGCAAGCCUGAUGCAGCCAUGCCGCGUGUAUGAAGAAGGCCUUCGGGUUGUAAAGUACUUUCAGCGGGGAGGAAGGUGUUGUGGUUAAUAACCACAGCAAUUGACGUUACCCGCAGAAGAAGCACCGGCUAACUCCGUGCCAGCAGCCGCGGUAAUACGGAGGGUGCAAGCGUUAAUCGGAAUUACUGGGCGUAAAGCGCACGCAGGCGGUCUGUCAAGUCGGAUGUGAAAUCCCCGGGCUCAACCUGGGAACUGCAUUCAAACUGGCAGGCUGGAGUCUUGUAGAGGGGGGUAGAAUUCCGGUGUAGCGGGGAAUGCGUAAAGAUCUGGAGGAAUACCGGUGGCGAAGGCGGCCCCUGA